AUGAAGCCAGCUAAGAAGAGGAGGAUGUCCUCCCCUGUGUGGGAACAUUUUGAUUUUAUUCCUCCCAACAAGGUGAAGUGUUUGCUAUGUGCCAGGGAGCUGGGAUAUAACAACAACACCUCAUCCAUGCUCAGGCACUACAGAGCUUUGCAUGAGAAUAAGGGGAACACCGAUUGUGGAGCAAGACCAGGAGAACAAUCUCAAAUAGAUGGAGACCUGGUUAGCAUGGUGAUUGAGGACUCCCAGCCAUUUAGCAUCGUGGAGGACAAAGGAUUUAAAAGAUUUGUUAAAUCAUUAAAUCCUAGCUAUGUUCUCCCCACUGAAAAGGUCAUAAAAGCAGUGAAAAUUUAGUUUUUACAGAAUAAAAUGUGAACAGGCAGGACUGAGGCUCAAAGCCUCAGUGUGUAGCUGUCCAUACCUCAACGUUACAAAAGCACAACCACUGUCCACACCCCAACCACACCUCACCUCACAGUAAAUGAUCAUUUCCAUUUUAAGCAUUUCCAAAUAAUCAUUUUCCAUACUGCCAGCAUAAAUAUACACAGCAUACUCCCAUCACUACAAUAUACAUGUUUUACACACUCCUUUUGUUGUUGACAUUUACAGGCUGUGUGCAAAAUGCCACACUCUUCAAAUUCAUGCCAACUAAUAUUUUUACGUCCAGUAGAUGUCCUACUAGAGCGAAUGAAGCUUCAAGAAGCUUUGCGCUGGGGUGAACCAAUUGGAUGAAAAGCUUCAGUGCUUCAUGAAGCUUCAUCUGCCCAUCACUAUUUUAAAGCAAACACUACUAACCAUCAGAUCAUCUGAAUUUUCUUCUGUUUACAUGCAAAUGUCUGGUAAAUUCUGUUUCUUUAUGUUGCUUUGGUUAUACUUACCAUGGUGUCCAUGUUGUGUAUUCAGGUCCUAUAUGUGAGACAGAUGUAUGGAAAGGGCCGCCCACUACUUCCUGUUUAUAUAGGGUCAUGAGGUCAAUGAUUGCAUCACUGGGUGUAACCAAAUGGAGGGUUUUUCAUUUUGUAUAGUAUUGUUUGUUUUCUUUAAAUUAGCCUUUUGGGUUAUAUUGUAUGCAGUGUUUUACUUUACAAACCAUUUAGCUGAGUAAAUGAGUUUGUCAGUUUCAUGCAUGACCUUAUUCCUGUUCUUUGUUUAGAAUUGUAUUGUUUGGUUUGACCUAUUCGUUUCAAUGGUAGGGACUAACGAGGUCAGGUGUGGGCAAAGUCCUGUAUAAAGCAAGUGGGAUUUUUGCAUGCCUGAUUGAUUGUUUUAUGGUAAAAUGGAGAUGCCAGCAAUAAAGUAUGCUUAAAAGAACUUCAAUCGUCUGCUAAUGCUAUUUACUAGUGAUGGCCAAAUGAAGCUUUCUGAAGCACUGAAGCUUGUAUUGAAAAACGGUUCAUUACUCAAAGCUUUUCAACACAGUCCUCUCUGGUGACAUCAUGUGGCCAAAAAUAUGAAGAGCAGCUUGAAUCCACAAAAUAAAACCAACUGCUUCAUAAUGAUUGCUCACUCUACAGAGUGGAAUUCUGUCUGAUAUUGGGCUGCUGUUGUGUUGCUUUGAGCGCGUAUUUUUUGGUGUUAAAAAAUGUAGUUUAUUUGUUUAAUAAAUAAUUUUGACCAGUAAACCUUCCUUGUUUAAACAUGCUCCAUGGUGUG
rnacentral:lncRNA from 1 species